ACUCUUUCCAUGUUCGUUUCAUGCCACGAAAAAUCUACCAGAGUUGUCUUUCUUUAUGAAGCAGAAGACACUUGCUGUGAAAACAAAAGUGGAUGCCGCGCCGUGAAGAACAGUUCUGAGUUCAUUUUAGGGAUAUUUGCAGGAUGUUGUCCACUAAGCUAAUGGUGGGGAUCGUAGCAGCUACCCUGCACACAGACAUUGAAUGGAGCUGUCUGGUCCAUUAUCAGAAGAGUGGGCAGUACUGUGUAUCCGAUCAGAGAAGUUUAUCGAAAAGCAUUACAAGGGACUUGUAUGAAUGGGCAGAAGACAUUUUCUUAAUUCACCACUCCAUCAUUGCCUGGUGUUGGAGACUGCACACUUUAUUGAAAAUUGAUAGGAUGUAGCAAUCAAUGGGUGUCAUCAUUUGCCCUGAGAAGACUAAGAGAAUUCCCUGGUCCUCAUGAGAUGGUGACACCCUGCAGUAGGAGCAGUUCUUACCGGUAUCUCUUAAAAGAAGACAGAGGUUUUCGUAGCAUCUGAUCCAUUUCUGGAGACAAACUUUUGAAUGGAGCUGGGUAGCAGUUACUUGAGAUGUCUGGCUGAUUGACGAGGAUAAAUGUCCUGCGACUCUGACAUUCUGUAAGACUUGGAUAGCUCUAUCACUGUAGAAAAUGUCAGGACGGUGGAGAUUUAGAUAAGUGGUGUGAUGUUAUUGAUGGUAAACAGAAGACUGCGACCUUGAAUCUGAAGAUCUGUGAUGAAGACUGGACGUUUGGGGUCACUCUCUGUUACAGUACUACAAAUCUAAGUAAGUACUCAGUAAUAAUGUAAGACUGAACUCUGUAUCAUGUUUAUCUAAUAUAUACAUUGUAAAAUCAAACACAUAUUGAAUUAAUUCACAAACAAAAUAAUGUUCUGUUAAACUCACAAACACAAGUACAUGUUACACAUCACAAACAGAGGACUGUAAUGUACACAGGGCUGUAAUUAACACGGGGAUGUAAUUAACACAGGGCUGUAAUUAACAAGCAGAUGUAAUUAACACGGUGCUGUAAUUUACUCUGUGAUUAGACAUGUAAUUAACAUUGUGUUGGUAGAUGUAAUUAACAC